ACGGUAACAUGCCUUCUCUGACAUGCCCAUCUCUGUACACAAAGUCCACGUUUCCGUGUCUGCUUCUGAAGCGUAGAUCAUCUUGCCGUUGACUAGGAUUUGUAGAGACGCGUAGGAAUCCUUUACUUGAGUACGGCUUCUCGAGGGUAAGAGACUGCUGUUCAAGUUGCAGUCGUCUGAUUCACACUCUGAACAGAUACACGUGAAGUGAAAAGACAGACUACUCAUUGUCUACCGAUGGAAGUUUUGUUAGGUGAAGAAUUUGCGGUAGGGGAACCCAUUUCCAUGGAGUAACCGAACGUGACACAAUGUCACUGUCUGUGUGACUGAAUACUAGGACUACUUUCCCCUAUCUAGCGUUCUUGAACUGUGGAACUGUGGAACUGUGAAACUAUAUAUCUUGUCGAACUAGAGUCAGCAAAAAUUCGUUUAGCCUAGCUAGGCAACUCUUGAGUAUUCAUGGAACUAAGGCGAGUAAUCGUCUUUGCUGCUUUCUGUCGAACUCCACACUGUAUCAAGCACAUUUCUCACACAAAACCUGUAAUACUUGAUUUUACCAUUUGGCAGUAUGUGUGUUGAGUGAGAGUGCCUUUCGUUGCAACUCAGACUCUGCAGAUGCAAGGUCAUGCUCGAGAACUCUAAUCUUGUUUUGAAGUUCCACUAUUUCAUUUGCUUGCUGUUCAAUUAUCCGAUGUAAACCAUCAGCUUCAGCGCCACAGUGACAUUUUCGACAAUCAACAUCUUCUCUUUUGAGAUCACUACUAUACACAUGUCUUGAUCAACUGCGGAUGAGGUAGAACAGCCUUUGCUUUCUGAUUUAGACAUUACAGCUAUGGAAUAGUGCGUAUGUGUUGUGUUACUUUAGACAUAACUGUUGCUGGGACUUGUAGGCUGGCAGUGCUAAUUGUAAACAGACUACAGAG